rnacentral:rRNA from 1 species
AUUGAACGCUGGCGGCAGGCCUAACACAUGCAAGUCGAGCGGCAGCACGGAGGUUGCCCCUGGAUUCCGCGGGGGACGCGUGUGUAUAGUCCAGGAAUCUGUGUCGUAUUGGGGGAUAACGUCCGGAGAAGGGCGCUUUUAUAGCACACGCCCUGUGCGGGUAAGAGGGGGAGCUCUGGAGCUCACGCUCUCAGAUGAUCGUAGGUCGCAUUAGCUAGUUGGUGGGGUAAAGGCCUACCAAGGCGACGAUCCGUAACUGGUCUGAGAGGAUGAUCAGUCACACUGGAACUGAGACACGGUCCAGACUCCUACGGGAGGCAGCAGUGGGGAAUAUUGGACAAUGGGCGAAAGCCUGAUCCAGCCAUGCCGCGUGUGUGAAGAAGGUCUUCGGAUUGUAAAGCACUUUAAGUUGGGAGGAAGGGCAGUAAGUUAAUACCUUGCGGUUUUGACGUUACCAACAGAAUAAGCACCGGCUAACUUCGUG